rnacentral:rRNA from 1 species
UACGGAGGGGGCUAGCGUUGUUCGGAAUUACUGGGCGUAAAGCGCGCGUAGGCGGCUUUGUAAGUUAGAGGUGAAAGCCCGAAGCUCAACUUCGGAAUUGCCUUUAAGACUGCAUCGCUAGAAUUGUGGAGAGGUAAGUGGAAUUCCGAGUGUAGAGGUGAAAUUCGUAGAUAUUCGGAAGAACACCAGUGGCGAAGGCGACUCACUGGACAUGUAUUGACGCUGAGGUACGAAAGCGUGGGGAGCAAACAGG